UGCCACUGAAUAAUAGGUUUACUUAAAAUUACAUCCCUGGUCCUUCUUCUUUCUGUAUUGCAUCGUGGUAAAUUCACAUUUCUCAGAAAUUGACAACAAAACAGAACGAAGAUAUGUAGAGGCAAAAAAGAAGGCGCAGUUGGAAAAUGAAGUGAUUAGUACGAAGUAGCAGCGCAGGCACAUUUGGAAAAUUAUGCCGAUAAGCAAGAUAGAAUUUAGGAAAAAAUGUGGUUAAUCGAGUGGCGUUAGUUAAAAUGUGCUCCAAACAUUUGGCGAACUUUUUUUCGCCUUCUCAACGUGCUAAGUUACAAGUUAAGAUGACUGCCACCACGACCGGUAGGAAGCCCGAAGCAAAGGGCAAACAACCUUCCAGGAAGCUGCCAGCUGUCCCCGAGUCGUACCUGAAGUUCAGCAAGAAGCAGGUCAGCAAACGUGCUACCCUGAUCAAGCGUAAACUAAAGCGCUCUGCUGUGAUUGCACUCCGCAAACGUCAAAACUUAUUGCAUCUGAGAAAUAUCAAGCAAAAUAUCUCCGUGAUGGACGCCGUGAGAAUAAGUUGCGCCGCCUGGCAAAGAAACGCGGCUCAUUCUACGUGCCUGCGGAAGACAUAUUGGCUUUUGUGAUCUGUAUCCGCGGUAUCAACAAAGUUGCACCAAAAGUGCGACAGUUUGUUCCGUUUUCGCCACAUUAACCACGGUUUGUUCAUCAAAUUUAACCGUUACUAUGCUACGCAUUGCAGAAUCCUAUAUCACAUGAGGUUAUCCAAAUCUUAAAUCAGUUCGUGAAUUGA